GCUCAUUCAAGCACCCACAUCUGAGAUUUUAUUGCACCAGCCAUCCCCGUCAUGAGUACCAACGACCAUACCAGUGAUUCUAGUACAUACUCGAUAAAUAUAUUUUCUGCACUCGUACGGUCAACUGCUAGCGUAGAACUGCAUAAUUCCAUGCUUCAUGCUGCAGCUUCAGAAUCGCACGGCCCGUUUGCAACAAGCUCAGAUCCAGUAUUGGACAUUGUUGAGCACUACAUCAAGCCCUCAAGGUGUGGUGGCCGUGAAUCUCCCGUAGUAGUGGUCGACCUUGCGAGACGAUUUAAUGUCCUAGCCUUGGCACAGCAAGUUGGCGAGCCACAUCUGCUGGACAGCCUAUCACGUCUGCAUGUGGUACACUGCCCUUGCCCAGAGUCCAUAUUCUGCACAGUAGAGAAACUGCUGCUCAGUGUUGUGCCUAUUGCACUGCUUGCUAUGUAUGCAGCACCCAUGCAUCGCUGGCACAGCCCUCACGGAAACUUGCUGGUGGCACGCCUUCAAGAGCUGGCCACUGCUCACGGAGCCAAAUUCUAUGCGACACGACCCACAGUGCGUCUUCGGAGGAGACCUAAUGAAGCACGUCUUGCGUGUGAAUCUGGCAUCUCUGAGGUGUAAAUUAAACUGUUCUGGAGGAAACAAAGUACAUUGCUGCACUUAACAAAACUGUUGGUGCCCAGGUAUGGCUAGAGAUAUCAGAGAAUUUUAGUUUGUCCAUAAACUUCUAUGAAUGAAUGA